UUUUUCCUUAGAAGAGGAUGGAGAUGUAGAUGUAGCAUUUUGCUUUAGGAGUAAAACUUUUCCUUGCUCUGUUACCGACAUUGAGAAAGUGCCACCUUUUGAAGUGGGACAAGAGGUUCACAUCCUGCCGUCUGUUACUCAACCAUUACUUGGGUGGUCAGAUGAAACCCCAGCCUCUUCAGGAAAAAUUGAAAGAAUCGAUAUGGAUGGAACUCUAAAUGAAAAAGAG
rnacentral:misc_RNA from 1 species